rnacentral:lncRNA from 1 species
UAUAGACAGGGCUCCAGAAUUCUCAUAAACACUGAAGAUGUGGAAAUCAGAAAGAGGGAGAGGCCUUAUCUAUAUGGCCAAAUUAUUACAGUCUUGAAAAAUAACUGCAAAGGUUGCUUUAAGUCCACACAAUUUAAAAAAGGCAAAUGACUAGAUCCAAGAUGAACAGAAAUACUAAGCAUUGUAAGGAAAUUCUGAUUAGGAAUAUUUUCUAAAAAUAUUUUCCUGUAUUAAGUAUAUAUGUUCAUUUAAAAAUGCUUUUGACAGUUUGGCAGCAUGUAUCUCCACCUUU